AUUGAACGCUGGCGGCAGGCUUAACACAUGCAAGUCGAGCGGGAUGAUGGUGCUUGCACUAUCACUUAGCGGCGGACGGGUGAGUAAUGCUUAGGCAUCUUCCUAUUAGUGGGGGACAACAUCCCUAUAUGGAUGCUAUACCCCAUACGUCCUACGGGAGAAAGCAGGGGAUCACUUGUGACCUUGCGCUAAUAGAUGAGCCUAAGUCGGGUUAGCUAGUUGGUGGGGUAAAGGCCUACCAAGGCGACGAUCUGUAGCGGGUGUGAGAGGAUGGUCCGCCACACUGGGACUGAGAAACGGCCCAGAAUCCUACGGGAGGCAGCAGUGGGGAAUAUUAGGCAAUGGGGGGAACCCUGAUCCAGCCAUGCCGCGUGUGUGAAGAAGGCCUUAUGGUUGUAAAGCACUGUAAACGAGGAGGAGGCUCUUUUGGUUAAGACCGAAGCUGAGUGGACGUUACUAGCAGAAUAAGCACCGGCUAACUCUGUGCCAGCCGCCGCAGGAA
rnacentral:rRNA from 1 species